rnacentral:rRNA from 1 species
UACGUAGGUGGCAAGCGUUAUCCGGAUUUAUUGGGCGUAAAGAGAACGCAGGCGGUCUUUUAAGUCUGAUGUGAAAGCCUUCGGCUUAACCGGAGUAGUGCAUUGGAAACUGGGAGACUUGAGUGCAGAAGAGGAGAGUGGAACUCCAUGUGUAGCGGUGAAAUGCGUAGAUAUAUGGAAGAACACCAGUGGCGAAAGUGGCUCUCUGGUCUGUAACUGACGCUGAGGUUCGAAAGCGUGGGUAGCAAAUAGG